GAAGUCCGCCAGGCAAUCGCUGCAUGCGCAAGCAUGUGGAGGAAAGUCCGGGCCCCGUAGAGCAGGAUGCCGGCUAACGGCCGGGCGCAGCAAGCCGUCGCAAGAUGGCCCAAGGCGACAGACAGUGCAACAGAAAGAUACCGCCUGCCCUGACUUUGACGCCGCAAGACGGCAAAGUCUCUCUUGAGUGAGGAGGGUUUUGGUCGAAAGACCGGGCAGCGUGCUUGCACGCUGCGGGUAAGGGUGAAAUGGUGGCACCUGACAAGGUGUCGUCCAUGCGCAAGCAUGGGCGGGGUAAGAGCCCACCGCGUCCACGGUAACGGCGGACGGCACGGCAAACCUCAUCCGGGGCAAGGCCAAAUAGGGGAGCGAAUGGCGUGGCUCGCGUCGCUCCCGGGUAGGCUGCUAGAGCCUGGCGGUAACGUCCAGGCCCAGAGGAAUGAUUGCCCACGACAGAACCCGGCUUAUCGGCGGACUUCCAUU
rnacentral:RNase_P_RNA from 2 species